UUGUCCUUGUGUCCCUGUUGCAUACUUGCUGUCGGAGUCGUGAAAACAGCUAAGGCUGAGUUUAAGUGGUCAAGCGAUCAAGUGCGAACUGCACGAAGGUUCAACUGUGAGAAUUGGCGCCGGGCGUCGCCCGCCAUUUGCGGUGAUAAAUAGCAAGGUGAACCAGAGUGUGGUAUUCGGGAUAACUCUGGAACUCUGGACCGUAGUAGCAACAGGAUCACAAUGUAAGGAUUUGUAUGCAGUAUUUACUGUAUUUAGUAUGUUUGUGACUGUGGAC